rnacentral:rRNA from 1 species
UACGUAGGGGGCAAGCGUUGUCCGGAAUCAUUGGGCGUAAAGAGCGUGUAGGCGGCCCGAUAAGUCCGCCGUGAAAGUCCAGGGCUCAACCCUGGAAUGCCGGUGGAAACUGUCGGGCUCGAGUCCGGAAGAGGCGAGUGGAAUUCCUGGUGUAGCGGUGAAAUGCGCAGAUAUCAGGAGGAACACCGGUGGCGAAGGCGGUGAUCUGGGCCGACACUGACGCUGUAGAGCGAAAGCGUGGGGAGCGAACAGG